rnacentral:misc_RNA from 1 species
GAUGAAGAACGUAGCGAAAUGCGAUACGUAAUGUGAAUUGCAGAUCUCUCAGUGAACCAUCGAAUUUUUGAACGCACAUUGCGCCCGCUAGUAUUCUGGCGGGCAUGCCUGUCCGAGCGUCAUUUCAACCCUCAAGCCCCCGGGCUUGGUGUUGGGGAUCGGCGAGCCUCCGCGCCCGCCGUCCCCUAAAUCUAGUGGCGGUCUCGCUGUAGCUUCCUCUGCGUAGUAGCACACCUCGCACUGGGAAACAGCGCGGCCACGCCGUUAAACCCCCAACUUCUGAACGUUUGACCUCGGAUCAGGUAGGAAUACCCGCUGAACUUAAGCAUAUCAAUAAGCGGAGGA